ACUUCCGGAGACCUCACACAAGAUGGCGGCACCCGAGGAACACGAUUCUCCGACCGAAGCGUCCCAGCCGAUUGUGGAAGAGGAGGAAACUAAAACAUUUAAAGACCUGGUGAGAAUGGAUGACGCUGGCUUCUUUUAUGUACUCUGGUGCUAGGCUCAGGGAGACCCCAGGGUGUGACAGAUGUGUUGUGUGAAGCUUGUGACCAGUUGGGAUGGACAAAACCCACCAAGAUCCAGAUUGAAGCUAUUCCUUUGGCCUUACAAGGUCGUGAUAUCAUUGGGCUUGCAGAAACUGGCUCUGGAAAGACAGGCGCCUUUGCUUUGCCCAUUCUAAACGCACUGCUGGAGACCCCGCAGCGUUUGUUUGCCCUAGUUCUUACCCCGACUCGGGAGCUGGCCUUUCAGAUCUCAGAGCAGUUUGAAGCCCUGGGGUCCUCUAUUGGAGUGCAGAGUGCUGUGAUUGUAGGUGGAAUUGAUUCAAUGUCUCAAUCUUUGGCCCUUGCAAAAAAACCACAUAUAAUAAUAGCAACU
rnacentral:lncRNA from 1 species